GUGAAGAACGCAGCGAAAUGCGAUACGUAAUGUGAAUUGCAGAAUUCAGUGAAUCAUCGAGUCUUUGAACGCACAUUGCGCCCCCUGGUAUUCCGGGGGGCAUGCCUGUCCGAGCGUCAUUGCUGCCCUCAAGCCCGGCUUGUGUGUUGGGUCUCGUCCCCCUUCCCGGGGGGACGGGCCCGAAAGGCAGCGGCGGCACCGUGUCCGGUCCUCGAGCGUAUGGGGCUUUGUCACCCGCUCUGUAGGCCCGGCCGGCGCUUGCCGAUCAACCAAAACUUUUUUCCAGGUUGACCUCGGAUCAGGUAGGGAUACCCGCUGAACUUAAGCAUAUCAAUAAGCGGAGGA
rnacentral:misc_RNA from 1 species